rnacentral:misc_RNA from 1 species
GAAAUGCGAUAAGUAAUGUGAAUUGCAGAAUUCAGUGAAUCAUCGAAUCUUUGAACGCACAUUGCGCCCGCCAGUAUUCUGGCGGGCAUGCCUGUCCGAGCGUCAUUUCAACCAUCAAGCCCCCGGGCUUGUGUUGGGGACCUGCGGCUGCCCGCAGGCCCUGAAAACCAGUGGCGGGCUCGCUGUCACACCGAGCGUAGUAGCAAUCACCUCGCUCAGGGCGUGCUGCGGGUUCCGGCCGUUAAACAGCCUUACAAAAACCAAGGUUGACCUCGGAUCAGGUAGGAAGACCCGCUGAACUUAAGC